rnacentral:tRNA from 1 species
UGCCCUCUAAUUUGUAAUGGUAGCAAGGCUGGCUCUAACCCAGCAGGUGUGGGUUCGAAUCCUACGGGGGCGA